rnacentral:rRNA from 1 species
UCAAAACGACUCUCGGCAACGGAUAUCUCGGCUCUCGCAUCGAUGAAGAACGUAGCGAAAUGCGAUACUUGGUGUGAAUUGCAGAAUCCCGUGAACCAUCGAGUCUUUGAACGCAAGUUGCGCCCGAAGCCAUCCGGCCGAGGGCACGUCUGCCUGGGCGUCACACACG